CUAACCCUAUUAUUUCCUACCUUCUUCAGCGCCGCUUCUCUUCAGUCUUCAACGUUUUCUUUAAAAGUACAAACCUAGCUCUGUUCUAUCGCCACUCGCCACCGUCAAACCGAGAUAUGUUCUGUCGAAAAGUUAGUCGUCGUUGAUUAUCGCCAUUUCUGGUCAAGAGCGAGGAGUGCUGACUUCGUCUUGCUUUGCACCUUGGUUCAUUCAACUCAUUUAAGACUGUAAGUUACAUUAUUCAUUCACUUCAUAUGGUUGAAAAUGAUAAGAUUGAUCAAGUGGUUGAUUAAAGUAGAGGUUCUGAGUCUACUGCUGCAACUUUCUCACUCGACAGUUACAAAACAAAGGAAAAAACGAUCUCGGGCAUGGGAUUUUUUUGAAGAAAAAGUUGAUGCUAAAGGAAAUAAUAAAUAUGCAUGUUGAUUUUGUGGACACGAAUAUUUUGAGACAAAAGGCAAAAGUACGACACAAAGGAAUAAUCAAAUCAGUAAAUGUCCAAGGAAUCCUUAUAAAGUUGAAAAAGGUAAAAAACUAUUACCAUAUCAAACAGUACCACGGGGUAAUAAAGGUGAUCUUAUUCCAUGAAAAUUUGAUCAAGAAGAGUGUAGGAUGGCUUUGUGUCAUAUGGUGAUUGUUGAUGAACUUCCAUUUAGUUUUGUUGAGAAGGAAGGCUUUAGAAUCUUUAUGAAAGUGGCACAACCAUGUUUUCAUAUUCCUUCCCGUACUACUGUUACACAUGAUUGUUUUUCUCUUUUUAAUAUGGUUAAAAAUAAAUUAAUGAAUUUUCUUAAAGGAACAAGUCAAAGAGUUAGUCUUACCACUGAUACAUGGACUUCUAUUCAAAAAAUUAACUAUACGUGCAUCACAACCCAUUGGAUUUAUAGUGAAUGGAUUAUGCAUAAAAGAAUUUAACUUUUCUCCAAUUACUAGUCAUAAAGGUGAAGAUAUGGCAAGGUGUAUUAUUGAUUAUUUGCAUGAAUGGGGUUUGCAAAAGAUUUUCACUGUCACAGUUGACAAUGCUAGUUCAAAUGAUGUGACCGUGGAGAAGUUGUCUGACAAAUUGAUGAUUGGGGAACCAAUUCCAAGAAUGAUCAACACCUUCACAUGAGAUGCAUGGCUCAUAUUGUAAAUCUUAUUGUGAAAGAUGGUUUAAAAGAGUCAGGUAUUUCUAUUGCUCGUAUUAGAUGUGCAGUCAGAUACAUUAGACAGUCUCCUGCUAGGUUGAGGAAGUUUGAGGAAUGUUGUGAAAAUGAAAAUAUUAUCAAUAAGUCUUUAUGCUUAGAUGUUCCUACAAGGUGGAAUUCCACCUACUUGAUGUUGAGUAGGGCUAUUGAAUAUGAGCGUGCAAUUAUAGAAUAUUCUGAUCAUGAUACCGACUUGUCACGUUAUCUUAUGUUUGAUGCUAUUUCAGAUGGAAAGCCUGUAGGUUUGCUUACAAGAACUUAUUGGGAUGAUGUAAAGAGAAUUGCACAAUUUCUUGAAAUAUUUUAUAAUCUCACUUUGAAGUUGUCCGGAUCACUUUAUGUAACAUCGAAUUCCCAUUUUCUUGAAAUUGGUCAAGUUACUAUUUACUUAAAUCGAUUAAUAACAACUGAAGAUGUACUUUUGAGUGAGAUGGCAUCAAGUAUGUGGAAAAUAUUUGAGAAGUAUUGGGGUGAACCAACAAAAAUGAACAAAAUAAUUUUCAUUGCUUGUGUUUUGGAUCCUCGCUACAAGUUUACUACUGUUAGUUUUGUACUUAAGAAGAUGUUUUGAGAUGAAGGGACAAUUAUUGAAAAAGAGGUUCAUACUUAUAUGAGUUCAUUGUUUAUUGAGUAUGUCUCUAAGUAGGUUUCAAAAGAUACUGGUGGUAAUGUUUCUACCUCUUUGCCAAGCUCUUCAUUCAGCACAAUGGAAACUUUAACUCCUGGUUUAGGUGAACUUUUAGAUGAAAUAAGGAAACAUAAAGCUGCAAGUAGAGGUGUAGAUUUUAAAACAGAAUUGGAAAAGUAUCUUGCAGAAGAUCGUGAAAAUGAAAGACCGGACUUUGAUAUCUUGGCUUUGUGGAAGGUGAACUCACCUAGAUUUCCUAUUCUUUCUAAGAUGGCUCGAAAUGUACUUGCUAUUCCUAUUUCAAGUGUGGCAUAUGAAAGUGUAUUUAGUACCGAAGGGCGUAUUCUUGACCAAUUUAGGAGUUCAUUAACUCCUAAAUUGGUUGAAACUCUAGUGUGCCUUCAAGAUUGGCUUCGGAGUGAAUCGCUUCCUGUAAAUGUUGAGGAAGAUUUAGAUUUUCUCGAGACACUCGAGGAAGAUUUUACUAAUCUUGGCAAAGAAGCUUCCACCGACGAUGUUUGCUAGAGUUUGUUAGCUGCUAUCUAUAACAUGGACGCUGAAGUUGGGCUCGUGAAGUUGAACUUGAUUUGCUGCCCAUUGAUUUGCUGCCAUCAACUGGUGAUUUUGAUCAGAAGAAGACAAAUAAGAGGCACAAAAGAAAUGUGUUACUUGCGCUCAACUAAAGACAUUUCAAGGAAUUAUUUUCCAUGGGACUUAUUUUGCAAAUAGUUCACGAUCACAGUAAUUUAUAGCUGACCGUGACUUCAAGAUUGUAGGAGAUAUUGAUCUAAUUGCAACUUAGUUUUCUACUUCUUUAAUGACACAUGUUCUUGCUGUUAAUUUUCUUUUGGUAAUCACGUAGUUGUGCUUGUUGGAACUUUAUUUUCUUUUGUUGUACCAUUGCUGUUAUGAUGAUUAUUGUUUUUUGCCUCUA